rnacentral:rRNA from 1 species
AGAGUUUGAUCCUGGCUCAGAUUGAACGCUGGCGGCAUGCCUUACACAUGCAAGUCGAACGGCAGCACGGGAGCAAUCCUGGUGGCGAGUGGCGAACGGGUGGGUAAUAUAUCGGAACGUGCCCAGUCGUGGGGGAUAACGUAGAGAAAUUUACGCUAAUACCGCAUACGGUCUAAGGAUGAAAGCGGGGGACCGUAAGGCCUCGCGCGAUUGGAGCGGCUGAUAUCAGAUUAGGUUGUUGGUGAGGUAAAAGCUCACCAAGCCGACGAUCUGUAGCUGGUUUGAGAGAACGACCAGCCACACUGGGAAUGAGACACGGCCCAGACUCCUACGGGAGGCAGCAGUGGGGAAUUUUGGACAAUGGGCGAAAGCCUGAUCCAGAAAUGCCGCGUGCAGGAAGAAGGCCUUCGGGUU